UACGUAGGGGGCGAGCGUUGUCCGGAUUUAUUGGGCGUAAAAGGCUUGUAGGUGGCCACGUCAAGUCGGAUGUGAAAUCUCCCGGCUCAACUGGGAGGGGUCAUUCGAUACUGGCGGGCUCGAGGCCGGUAGGGGGAAGCGGAAUUCCCGGUGUAGUGGUGGAAUGCGUAGAUAUCGGGAGGAACACCAGUGGCGAAGGCGGCUUCCUGGACCGGUUCUGACACUGAGGAGCGAAAGCGUGGGGAGCGGAUCCGGG
rnacentral:rRNA from 1 species